AGUGUUUACCAUAAAGGGCAGCUGUGAAGCUGUGAGAUGGGAGCAUCAAUCUAUUGAUCAGAAAGUGGUUGUUCAGUACCUUGGAUUUCUGAGUGGGCAAGGCUGGACUCUGAGCCCUGGAACCUCUGAAGUGAACACUGCAGGGCCAUUUGCCCAACAGUUGUAUUUUCAGUUCUUCCAGUGUGAAUCAGUUAAUAUUAUCGGGAACGAGGGAGAGGUUGAUCCUAGGAGGAAAUCAACCACAGUGAAAAGGCUUGGGCCGCUUUUGUUUUCACCUCCUUUUGCUGAACAAAUUUGAUUUCCGGAGUCAGUCAUUUUACUGUCAAGAAAUUUCUGCGGCAUUCUGCAACAGUUUCCAACGUGGCUAGAUCCGUCAGAGACUGAAGCCGUGGAGAACGCUCUCGGGGCCUUUGCCACUUCUUGGAGUAGAAGCCGACAGAGAGCUGUUUGGAAACGUCUUCUUCACACACCAGUUGAAGACUAGGCUUUGGAGGUUUUCAAAGCAGACUGUGCUUGGAAGGGCAGGGAGAAGUAACAUUCUGCAAAUCGCCGU
rnacentral:sRNA from 1 species